UUAAAGGCCGGUGUGGAGCCAGAGGGGCCUCAGCAGAGGAUUAAGGCCAAAGCCAUUGCACUCUUCACAACAGCAGCUCACCCACUGACCGACUGACAGCUCCCGAUCUUGCUGUGAAGAUCCACACCGGCUAUAAAGGUUGAGGCAAACGGAUUUCUGUCCAUGAUCAUCCAGCAAGUUUAUCUUUGCUAGUGAGGAGUUUCUAAAAUUUGAGUUGGAAUUUUGGAACCAACAGAAGCUGACUAUUUGCUCAGGCAAAAGGGAUUUUUUUUCUAUUGACUCAACUAGAAUUUAAAUUUUUUUUGAGAAGAGUUUCCAAGACUGGAAACCGAAGACACACGCUAACUCCAGUAAUUGCCACAACACAUCCUGCAAGGUUUUGUUUGAAUUUUCCAACAGCAGAGUACAUUUCUACAGCAUUCGAAAAAAAACACAAGACAAGAAAGAUUAAAACUUUCUGGAAAACGUCCCUUCUGGUAUCCUGUGACAAUGAGUAGUGGUGGGACCACCACAGUUUCACCACAGGAGCCUCAGGCUUUCAAAAGGGCAGUACGGAAGAUAAAAUGCGCCGCUAUGGUGGCCAACCUGGCCAAGAGCUGGCAGGGCUGGGCCAGUGAACACUCUGACAAGCAGGACGCCAUCCCGAGUGGCUGGAUGCCUUCAUCUGUUGAAGAGGUAGUCAAAAAAGAGCGUAACCAUGAGGUCAAACUUACCGUCACCCCGCGUGUAUUCACGGCUGAUGGCGCCAACACCAGUGGGAGUAAGAUUCGGACUGGUUCAGUGACCAAGUCUGUGCAGCCAAAACGCAGCGAGUGCAGCAGCAGCGAUUUGGUCAACGCCAUCCGAGGCAGGAUGGAGUCGGGUCCCGAGGAGUGCAAGCCGUUCCUGGGCAACGAGUCACCGACGCGCCGGCGGCAGAUGAGGGCGCUACAGAGCGCAGGAGGAGGAGCGGGUGGAGUCAUCCAAGACAGGAAGCUUUUGCUCCAGCAAGAGAAGAAGCUGGGGUCAAGGAGCAGCAGUGUUGACACAGAGGACAGCGGGCUGGGAGAGGAGGCCGGGCUCAGCGACAACAGCGAAGCAAAAAAUGAGCACGGUGACAUCCAGCCCAAGAAACAGACCAACAGGCCCAAGAUUAAGAUUUCCACUGCGAGUGACAUCAAAAGCCGCUGGCAGCAGUGGUCUGAGCAGCACAUGGAGGGCCAGAAGCUCAACCCCUUCAGCGAGGAGUUUGACUACGAGUAUGCCAUGGCCAAUCGCCUCCGCAAGGGCGAUUCCGGCUACGGACGACCCAAAGACGGCUCCAAGACAGCAGAGAGGGGCGACAGGGCCCAGAAACACAUCCACAGGGAGAUGGAGGAACUGGUGUGGAUUAUCAGAGACAUGGGGUUUAAGGAUAAAGAGGGGAGGAUCAUCAUUACCUUCGGUCGGCUCUUUGACCGCUACGUGAAGAUCUCAGAUAAGGUGGUGGGCAUCUUGUUGCGCUGCCGCAAACACAAGAUGCUGGACUUUGAAGGGGAGAUGCUGUGGAAAGGACAGGACGAUGGUGUCAUCAUUACAGUGAGGGACUGAGGACAGAUGUAAUGUCUUAUGAACAUUAACAAACACAUGCAAACCCACCUGCACAUCUCCCACAUCAGCUCGUCAAGAGAAAUAAUGCUAUCAACGCUAACCGCAAUGCUACACACACACACACACGGUUUCUCACAGACUCCAGACUCAUUAGUUCGUCUCAGAUACCUGACAGGUCAUCCGAUGAAGUGAAGCUAUCUUUAGCAUGCUAACCAUGCUCGUCUGGCUAACUAUGCUCCUACAUGCAACCAUCCACCACAAUGCCUGUCAUGCCAACACAUUCUCACUCCCAGCGCGACAAAUAAGUGACGCUUUGUCAGCUGCCUUCGGUGAUUUUACUGGCGCAAAAAGUCUCUUUUAGCGCCUCAGUCAGACACAUUGGGACAUUUUUCUACGCACUUGGUCGGGACUGAUUUGGCGUCAUUUUUCAACGUGCAGGGUAAAACCAUUUAGUUAGGGUUAGGGAAACUAAUUUGGGUGGGGUUAAAAAAGUUAAAUUUAACUUUUUUAACCCCACCCAAAUUAGUUUCUGAUGCGGAACAAGAACGGGACAGUUAGGUCUAGGAAUAGAUCAUGGUUGGGGUUACAAAAUGUAUGUUUAAGUGACACCCUACGAACCCCCACAAGCAACCUCCUAUCAUUUUCAGUCUUUCAUCCUACUCGCUACCGUUGUUGCUCUUAGUACUACGUCAUCUUACAGCGCCGCGGUUGAGCUACUGCUAUGUCCGGUGUAGUCCAUACAGACGCUAAAGGGUGAUUUUUUUGUUGGUAUGUGACGCUAAGAGCAAGUUGGGAGUGAGAAUGGGUUGGUCAUGCCAGAAAGCUUUACUGUGUGUUUAUUGUGAAAUUAAGAUCGGAAGUAGAGAAGCUGUAAUGUGCUGCUGUUGAGUUUGCCGUCUUGGUUUAGACUACGAAGCCUCUGUGUUAUUAUUUUAUUACCUUCAUAAUAGGCGCAACUCAAGUGCAAUGCUCUUAUUUUUGUCACAUACAUACAUUUGUCAAAUCAAGCCUCUAUUUUCUCAGGAGAUCUUACCCAGAGGCAGACAGAAAUGUGAAAGCGAGGCUUAUAGCGAACCAAUCUAAACUCAGAUGGUGUCGUUAUUCUAUAGCCAUUACAUUGUGCAAUCAACAUUAACUUCAUUAUUUAGUUAAUGCAAAAAAAACUGUCUAUUGCAACUUUAACUGUUAAUUUAUGUUUAGAAAAAGUCUAGUCUCUUGAGUGUAUUGUGUGAUGGUUUUGACAUAAAUGAUUGUAUAUUGAAAUGGGUUUUACCUAAUUUUAUACCAUGGCCUGGGUGAAUACUUGAUUCUGAUUGGCUGCAGGGUGUCUAUUUCUAAAGUGAUAUAGGACACCUACUAAGGAGUUCUGAUGAAACUGAAAGUUUACUGUUGUGCUAAAUUAAAUGGAAAUCUAAAUAUCUUUUUUUCCAACACUGAGUGUAGUCCUUUAAUGCAACAGCAUCAUCUCUCAUCCCUUUCGCUGUUUAAUUCUCUACUUCAGGCUCCGGCUGACAGUACACAUGGUGGAUCAUUUGUUUGUGAAAGUCUUGAUAUUGAUUUGGCUGGAUAGCUAGCUAGUGUUGUUGUUAAACCUAUUGUCAGAUUAUAUUUACUGAUUGUCAACCGUUAUUGACUUUUAAUCUUGCUAGCAUAGCGUUAGCUGGCUAACGUCUGGCUCGUUGCUCUCUGAGCCAACGGGCUUCUAUGAGCCUAGUGGACUAGAAAUGUCUAUCGUUGCCAAGUUGGAUCUACGGUCCUAUUUACUGGAGCAGUUUGGAUGCAUAAAAACCUUAUGGGAUGGGAAGGAUUGUUCCAGGUAUUGGUAAAACCCUCAGGUGCUACCAAGUAAAUGGACUUAUUGUUUGAAAAUAUAAAUUGAUUUUGACUACAAAACGCAUGAAAAUAUAAAUUGAUGGUCUUAAAAAAAUGUCAUCUGACAAGUGACCAUGGUAUAAGCGGGUUUAUGCCCUUCGAGGUGUCCAUUAUCAGAUAAUAAAUGGAUGACAGGGAGACCAGAAGAGGACGGUUGCCUCCGCCGCAAUAGACACCUCGUCGGGCACUAACCCUAACAUAACAUUUAGGACAUUUACUGUUGAUAUUGUGUAAAAGUAAACUUAGAAGUGUUCAAAAUGUUGAACAUUUUCUUCUUUCAAAGUGAAAGUCUGUGAGUCUUCUUACAGAAGAGUGGUGUAUCAUGCACAGAUAGAGAUUAUUGUACUGUACAUACACAUAAACACACAUGUCAACACCCAUUUACUAUCGAGACUGUGAAAUGUUGUCAUUUGUGCUGUGGUCAGAGUACACAUAAAGAAUGAAAUUUAAAUUCUGAUAUCCUGUUUUCCUUUAUUAAACAGGUUAGUGUGGAAUACUGAGGUACUACGCAAAUGUCAACAAGACAUAAAUAAAUAAUACAUUCAUCUUCAACGUGUCUGUUUAUCUUUAUGUAUGCACCACCCACCGAGGAAAAUUCCUUAUAAGUAUUACUUAAAAUAAAUCCUUUUCUGAU